CAAUUACGUCGUGAUAACGUAAUUGCUUGUGAUCCUGCCUCACAUCAUCUCUCCCCAGAGCAUGUGAAGACUGCUUCUGCAGAACAGGCAGAAGAAACCAAUAAGAAGGUUCAACGGCUGAGAUGGCGACACAGCAAAGCACUGUGGAGUGCUCAGGGCGUGUUGGAGCACA
rnacentral:lncRNA from 1 species